rnacentral:rRNA from 1 species
CCGCGUGAGUGAUGAAGGGUUUCGGCUCGUAAAACUCUGUUAUUAGGGAAGAACAAACGUGUAAGUAACUGUGCACGUCUUGACGGUACCUAAUCAGAAAGCCACGGCUAACUACGUGCCAGCAGCCGCGGU